rnacentral:ncRNA from 1 species
UUUGUUCAACGAUUAAAGUCCUACGUGAUCUGAGUUCAGACCGGAGUAAUCCAGGUCGGUUUCUAUCUAUUUACAAUUUCUCCCAGUACAAAAGGACAAGAGAAAUGGGGCCUCCUUAAUAUAAGCGCCCCUAAUUAAUUAAUGAAACCAUCUCAAUAUAGUAAAUCCAUACUAUAUUUACCCUAGACAAGGGUUUAUUAGGGUGGCAGAGCCCGGAAAUUGCGUAAGACUUAAAACCUUGUCCUCAGAGGUUCAAAUCCUCUCCCUAAUAGUGCAUUUAAUUAAUAU